UUGCAGUUAAAAGCUCGUAGUUGGAUUUCUCGGUGGGAGUGGCCGGUCCGCCGUAAGGUGUGUACUUGGUUGUCUCCCGUCAUCCUUGUGGGAACUGCUCUGGCAUUAAGUUGUCGGGGUUAGGGAACACAUCGUUUACUGUGAAAAAAUUAGAGUGUUUAAAGCAGGCUUAUGCCGUUGAAUACAUUAGCAUGGAAUAAUAAGAUAGGACUUUGGCGUCUAUUUUGUUGGUUUGCACACCAAGGUAAUGAUUAAUAGGGAUAGUUGGGGGUAUUCGUAUUUAAUUGUCAGAGGUGAAAUUCUUGGAUUUAUGAAAGACGAACUUCUGCGAAAGCAUUUACCAAAGAUGUUUUCAUUAAUCAAGAACGAAAGUUAGGGGAUCGAAGAUGAUUAGAUACCAUCGUAGUCUUAACCAUAAACUAUGCCGACUAGGGAUUGGCGGUCGUUCAUUUAUGACUCCGUCAGCACCUUAUGAGAAAUCAAAGUCUUUGGGUUCCGGGGGGAGUAUGGUCGCAAGGCUGAAACUUAAAGGAAUUGACGGAAGGGCACCACCAGGAGUGGAGCCUGCGGCUUAAUUUGACUCAACACGGGGAAACUUACCAGGUCCAGACAUAGUAAGGAUUGACAGAUUGAGAGCUCUUUCUUGAUUCUAUGG
rnacentral:rRNA from 1 species